CUUACCAAAGCUUCGAGCCCUGCAGUUGGGGAUUCCCGCCCGGGGAAGACGCCGCUGCGGAGCUCUGCACGUCCGGUGGGGGUCAGGCUGUGAUGCCCGUCCCGGUGGGGGUCAGGCUGUGCUGCGCGUCCCGGUGGGGGUCAGGCCGUGAUGCCCGUCCCGGUGGGGGUCAGGCUGUGCUGCGCGUCCCGGUGGGGGUCAGGCUGUGCUGCUCGUCCCGGUGGGGACCGUCUUCGUGGGCGUCAGGCUGAGUCUCCCGGCACCAGGGCCCUGGAAACACACAACAGGGCAGGCAUUUAGUGCACACAAUGCAACUGUGAUGGGAAAGCAGGGUGAGCAGGGUGAGAUUUCCCAGGCGGCUGAACACAGAGACGGAAGGCAGAGAAGGCAGAAGAUGCAUCCGAGCCGGCCCAGACCGGACCCGUUUGUUCAAGGUAACGGGACCCGGUCCCUUGUGCGCCUGCAAGGAGGGAGGGAGGGAG
rnacentral:lncRNA from 1 species